rnacentral:rRNA from 1 species
CACGGGGGGAGCAAGCGUUGUUCGGAUUCAUUGGGCGUAAAGGGCUCGUAGGUGGCUUUGUAAGUCGGAGGUGAAAUCCCAUGGCUCAACCAUGGACACGUCUUCGAAACUGUGAAGCUUGAGGCUGGGAGAGGAGAUCGGAAUUCCUGGUGUAGCGGUGAAAUGCGUAGAUAUUGGGAAGAACACCGGUGGCGAAGGCGGCUCACUGGCUCGUAUCUGACGCUCAGGCGCGACAGCGUGGGGAUCAAACAGG